ensembl:lncRNA
GGAGAGGGAGGUAGAGAGGAGACACUGGAUCAGAGGGGACAGGAGAGGGAGGUAGAGAGGAGACACUGGAUCAGAGGGGACAGGAGAGGGAGGUAGAGAGGAGACACUGGAUCAGAGGGGACAGGAGAGGGAGGUAGAGAGGAGACACUGGAUCAGAGGGGACAGGAGAGGGAGGUAGAGAGGAGACACUGGAUCAGAGGGGACAGGAAAGGGAGGUAGAGAGGAGACACUGGAUCAGAGGAGACAGGAGAGGGAGGUAGAGAGGAGACACUGGAUCAGAGGGGACAGGAGAGGGAGGUAGAGAGGAGACACUGGAUCAGAGG